AUGACAAGUAACGUGCACAUUUCAAGAUGCAUAAGAAUAUCAUCCUUUUUAGCUUUCUUGUCUUGUUGGCCGGCGCCCUUGGCCAACUAGGAGAAUGUCCAUAUGGACUUCAUCCUGUUAGUUACACAGCCUGUCAAUAUCACCACCAUUGUCCAGAGAGAUCAUUUUGCUGCUUCAGCCGCCCUUGGAGGCCCUACGGUGUGUGCUGUCCCUACGUUUGGAACAGAGAGUGAUUUAUAUCCCAAUCACCGAGAAUGAGCAUGCAGCAAAAUGUUAAUUAAACGUUUAUGAAAUGUUAAUUAAACGUUAAGGAAAUAAAGAUAACAUCAACAAUU